AGUGAACGCUGGCGGCAGGCCUAACACAUGCAAGUCGAACGGCAGCACAGUAAGAGCUUGCUCUUACGGGUGGCGAGUGGCGGACGGGUGAGGAAUACAGCGUAAUCUACUUUUUCGUGGGGGAUAACGUAGGGAGACUUACGCUACUACCUCAUACGACCUACCGGUGAAAGCAGGUGUUCUUCGGACCUUGCCAGAACGAAUGAGCCGAUGUCGGAUUGGUUAGUUGGUUGGGUAAAGGCCCACCAAGGGGACGAUCGUUACCUGGCCUGAGAGGAUGGCCGCCCCAACUGGAACUGAGAAACGGUCCAGCCCCCUACGGGAGGCGCCAGAGGGGAAUAUUGGCCAAGGGGGGCAAGCCGGCUCCAGCAAGCCCGCGUGGGGGAGGAAGGCUUUCGGGUGGUAAAGCCUGUUUGUUGGGAAGGAAAAGCAGCAGGUUGAUACCCCGCUGUACUGACGGUACCCACAGAAUAAGCACCGGCUAACUUCGUG
rnacentral:rRNA from 1 species